GACGAACGCUGGCGGCGUGCCUAAUACAUGCAAGUCGAACGCUUCUUUCCUCCCGAGUGCCUGCACUCAAUUGGAAAGAGGAGUGGCGGACGGGUGAGUAACACGUGGGUAACCUACCCAUCAGAGGGGGAUAACACUUGGAAACAGGUGCUAAUACCGCAUAACAGUUUAUGCCGCAUGGCAUAAGAGUGAAAGGCGCUUUCGGGUGUCGCUGAUGGAUGGACCCGCGGUGCAUUAGCUAGUUGGUGAGGUAACGGCUCACCAAGGCCACGAUGCAUAGCCGACCUGAGAGGGUGAUCGGCCACACUGGGACUGAGACACGGCCCAGACUCCUACGGGAGGCAGCAGUAGGGAAUCUUCGGCAAUGGACGAAAGUCUGACCGAGCAACGCCGCGUGAGUGAAGAAGGUUUUCGGAUCGUAAAACUCUGUUGUUAGAGAAGAGCAAGGACGUUAGUAACUGAACGUCCCCUGACGGUAUCUAACCAGAAAGACACGGCUAACUACGUG
rnacentral:rRNA from 1 species